rnacentral:rRNA from 1 species
UACGUAGGGUGCAAGCGUUGUCCGGAAUUAUUGGGCGUAAAGAGCUCGUAGGCGGUCUGUCGCGUCUGCUGUGAAAACUCGGGGCUUAACCCCGGGCCUGCAGUGGGUACGGGCAGACUAGAGUGCGGUAGGGGAGACUGGAAUUCCUGGUGUAGCGGUGGAAUGCGCAGAUAUCAGGAGGAACACCGGUGGCGAAGGCGGGUCUCUGGGCCGAUACUGACACUGAGAAGCGAAAGCGUGGGGAGCGAACAGG